UAGGGAAUCUUCGGCAAUGGGGGGAACCCUGACCGAGCAACGCCGCGUGAGUGAAGAAGGUUUUCGGAUCGUAAAGCUCUGUUGUUAAGGAAGAACGAGUGUGAGAAUGGAAAGUUCAUGCUGUGACGGUACUUAACCAGAAAGGGACGGCUAACUACGUGCCAGCAGCCGCGGUAAUACGUAGGUCCCAAGCGUUGUCCGGAUUUAUUGGGCGUAAAGCGAGCGCAGGCGGUUAGAAAAGUCUGAAGUGAAAGGCAGUGGCUCAACCAUUGUAGGCUUUGGAAACUGUUUAACUUGAGUGCAGAAGGGGAGAGUGGAAUUCCAUGUGUAGCGGUGAAAUGCGUAGAUAUAUGGAGGAACACCGGUGGCGAAAGCGGCUCUCUGGUCUGUAACUGACGCUGAGGCUCGAAAGCGUGGGGAGCGAACAGG
rnacentral:rRNA from 1 species